UACGAGUGCCCCAAGCGUUAUCCGGAAUUAUUGGGCGUAAAGGGUGUGUAGGUGGUUUUGUUAGUCUUCUGUUAAAGCUCCCGGCUUAACCGGGAAAGUGCAGAGGAAACGGCAAGACUAGAGGAUGUGAGAGGUAAGCGGAACUCAUGGUGUAGGGGUGAAAUCCGUUGAUAUCAUGGGGAACACCGAAAGCGAAGGCAGCUUACUGGCGCAUUCCUGACACUGAAACACGAAAGCGUGGGUAGCGAAUGGG
rnacentral:rRNA from 1 species